CUUUCCAUUUUGUUUCAGGUGGAUGCACUGAAGAUGCCACUGUGUUAAUCAUGGAGUUAAAGUGGAAGACUGCAUCUUGCCUGUAUCAGCACAGUGAUUGGAUUUGCAAGACUAUCCAGGACCUUGCAUGAGCACAGUUCUAGGUCUCUUCCAACCCAAACCAUUCUGUGGUUUUACUUUCCCUCUCCAUCACUCUGCUGUCCUUUCUUUCUCUACCAGAAGUGACACACCUAUUUCUGCAGGUAUCUACAGUUCCAAACCAGUCUCUGGACCUCAGGUAACUCUCAGUUUAUGCAAGAGGCCCACUGCUGUGCUGUCUGUCUGCAGAGUGCCAGUAAAAUUGUCGACAACCCUGAAAGUGCAGUGCCCACAUUCCCAGGGCCAGUUCCCUCUGCCUCACAUAAGUAUGCUGUGUCAAACCAGGUAAGCAGGUAAAUAUUAAAAAUUUAGAAAUUUAGCACAUGAGCAAAGGUGCCAACUGGCAAGAAUCCUCAGAGCAAUAAGAUGAAACAUUUUGAGUUACAGAACAAAAUGUCUGUGCUGGGGUACUGAAAUACAUGUAUUUAAUGUGUUGUUACUGAGGUUUGGUGGCAAAACAGAAUGAAAGCUAUUUAAACAAAUCCUUGCUUCAUGUAAUGUUGCUGUAGUCCAAGUCAUUGCCCAGCAUAUCAUGAAAGACAAUAUUAUCCAGCUUUUGAAUUGGUUCAAUACCAAUUACUUUUCUGCAUCAAAUAUUAAGAUGCAUUUUUCAAAAACAAUUGGUUUUGCUUAGACAUUAGGGAAAAUAAAGUUAGCAGACAUCAGAACUUUGUCGUGGGAAAUUUGCUGCAAAGCAGGUACAAGCAUAAUAAAAGUAAUUGUAGGUGAGUGCAGAUAAUUUAG